rnacentral:lncRNA from 1 species
UGGGCUGGUCUAGGCAGGGAAGCCGGCCAGGCUGUCCUUGUUGUGGAAUUGCCUCACCUCCCCCAGCCCUGUCCCCUCCCCGCGGUCCCUCCCCAGCCCCGCGUUCCCCGGCCAAGUAUUCCUUUUCGUGACUUCACUGAGUGAGUUGUGCAGACGUAGCAAGUGACCUUCAGGGCACAGCAGGGGAAUAGAAAGUAGACAGAAAACAGCCUGUUUGGAGAGGUGUACAAUGGUCUCUUUCUUGAGACGCCCUUUGCUCUCCCCUGAUUUCCUCAGCUCUUGAUUUACUUUUGCUGGAUGUCUGAGAUGGAAAUGGACACCAUGCAAAAAUGCAUGAUGUUUUCUCCAGGACCGUGCUUCCACACCUGUGAGAGCACUGCUCCUCAGUGAAGAAGAGACCCUGCAUUCCAUGUCCGUGCUGUGUUCUGGGAAAUUUCCUUUUUCUGUGAAUGUGUCACCCUUCCACUGAAAUGUACAUGAAUCAGAAGGUAAUGGAAACCAGUCAGAACCAGGAACUUCUCAACAAGUUACACUUGGCUGGCCAUGUGAGGAGAAGACCAACUGUAGCACACGAAAGCAAUAUCUCUGUGAUCACAAGGUAAGACAAAGAAAUCUGCUGUCUCAUCUCCAAAAAUCCCAGUGAAUAUUAUUUUGCCAAGAAACGGAGGGAGACCUGCUUGCAUGAGCACAUGUGAACACACGAUGACGAUAAGUCCUGCUUUAAAACAUCUGAAGAAACUGCAGAGCAAUGGCCUCAUUCUGCUAUGGCCAAGGCCGCCUUCAAGACCACCUUCCUUUAUAUUUCUUCUCCUUCCUUGCGAUAAGCUGGGGUAUGAAUUAUUGAAGCCGAAGAACGAGAUCCCUGAGAGACUGGAGGGUGAGCUAUAAACUUGACUUGGCUUGUCUGGAAUGCGAGCUCCAUGAAGGCAAGGUCUGUGCCUCUUCGUCGCUAUGUCCCCACACCUUUACCAGCAGCUGAGACCCAGCAGGCACUCAUAUCUGUGAAAUGAAUGAAUGAGCCACAUGGCUUCCUGCCCAAGAGUCCUCUAACUCUUUACAGCUGAAGUAACUUGUCACAUGACUUCAGAUUCAGCAGCUGCCAUGGAACAAGUCCUGGGUGCUUGAUGCUCAAAGCCUUGUUCCUGGACCAGUGCCUGGAAGCUCAUCCAGAAUCCCAAGCCUCG